AACGAACGCUGGCGGCAGGCUUAACACAUGCAAGUCGAACGCAUCCUUCGGGGUGAGUGGCAGACGGGUGAGUAACGCGUGGGAACGUGCCCUUCAGUUCGGGAUAACCCAGGGAAACUUGGGCUAAUACCGGAUACGUGCGAGAGCAGAAAGAUUUAUCGCUGAAGGAUCGGCCCGCGUCUGAUUAGCUAGUUGGUGGGGUAAUGGCCCACCAAGGCGAUGAUCAGUAGCUGGUCUGAGAGGAUGAUCAGCCACAUUGGGACUGAGACACGGCCCAAACUCCUACGGGAGGCAGCAGUGGGGAAUAUUGGACGAUGGGCGCAAGCCUGAUCCAGCCAUGCCGCGUGAGUGAUGAAGGCCUUAGGGUUGUAAAGCUCUUUCGUCCGGGACGAUAAUGACGGUACCGGAAGAAGAAGCCCCGGCUAACUUCGUGCCAGCAGCCGCCGUAA
rnacentral:rRNA from 1 species